rnacentral:sRNA from 1 species
UAUUCUGCCCCAUGGGGAAGGAUGAGAAGCUUCGACUAAGGUUCGACUCGAGCGCCAGCGAGAACGUUACCGCAGGCAACGGCGAAGAGCGAGGCGCUAGCGCCGAGUAAUCCUUCCCCACCAUCCC